UCUGAUUGUGUUUUUGUUCAAUGGUUGGACAAAGGCAUGGAAGAUAGACACAAGAAUAAAUCCUCAUUUGCCAUCCACAACUCACUGAUGAGUGUGAGUUUUGAUGCACACAUGAAGGAACAGA